UACAGAGGGGGCGAGCGUUGUUCGGAAUUACUGGGCGUAAAGGGCGCGUAGGCGGCCUGCUAAGUCAUACGUGAAAUCCCUCGGCUCAACCGGGGAACUGCGUGUGAUACUGGCAGGCUAGAGGUUCUGGAGGGGAUAGCGGAAUUCCUGGUGUAGCGGUGAAAUGCGUAGAUAUCAGGAGGAACACCGGUGGCGAAGGCGGCUAUCUGGACAGAGUCUGACGCUGAGGCGCGAAAGCUAGGGGAGCAAACAGG
rnacentral:rRNA from 1 species